GUUCAUUCAUAAUUUUCAUUUUAAAAGUGUAUUCAUUCCUUCUGCAAAUCCAUACUGUCAUGCCUAUUCCCCAAUAUCGCCAACGCGGAUAGUUCGUUGAAUAAUUAAACAAACUAAAUGGCAUCACUGGUGGUUCUUUUUUCCACUCCGCUAAACUGUCAUCUCAAACAAAAACAAAUGGAUCAUACAACUGCUAUGAAUACAUUCGACUCAUUUGCUUCCAUCAAUCGGUAAGUGAGAAAGAUGAUUUCUCCCAUCACCACAGUGCGGAUUUCCACUUCUAUCACAGCGUCCAACAACAUCCGUUUUCCUGCAGCAUCAACAGCAGCAGCAGCAGAAUUUGACCAUGGUAUGGUAUUGCGAAGAACUUUCCCCAUUAGAGGUUCCGUGCUUCGCGCACAUUCAAUAAUCCUCUUCAGACACGAAAACUCAACGACAAGGAGCCAACAGCAUCAGCUUUCCCGCAGCAGUAUCCUUUAAGUCCAGGGUGCUAUUCCGGGGAACAGCAGCAACAGCAACAGCAGCAGGACCUGGCCAUCGAUAGUAUUUCGAGCAAUUUUCCCCAUCGGAGAUCCCGUGCUUCACGCACAUUGAAGAAUCCUCCUCAGCCACAUAUCUGUGUCAUCAAGGGCAAGGAGGUAUUCAUCAAUGGUGACCGGAAUAAAUCGCCACAGUAAACAACUGCAACAGAAACAACCGCUUAGAAAAAGUGUAGUAGGCUAGAAAUAUUUGGCGCGGGAAAAACAUCAUGUGCCUCACAUUUCUAUUAUAAAUUUAUUCUCUUGUUCUCGUUUUUCGAAAUUUAUUCUGAGGACAAUGUAAUGGGGACGAAGUCCCCAUUUGGCGAGGAUAAGGAAUCGAGGCGGCCCAUGCCGCCAAGAUGACGCAAUCCGAGUCCACCGCCGACCCGCCGUCGGAAGCGGCGGUGUCUCGCACGCAAACCUGGGAUCCACUGAUUGCCCGGUUAGUUUGAAACAUAGGAUACGAUCCUUUAGCAAUGUCCGACCGAGCUCUAGCGAGCGUCGGACGGUAUACGUCUGCCCGGGGCGUUACGUUUGCCUGGGGCAUUACGUUUGCCCGGUUAAUUCUUGUUUUGAAAUACAAUACCGCGCCACAAUAUUUAUAGCCUACUACACAUUUUAUAAGCGGUGGUUUCUGUUGCAGUCGUUUUCUGUGGCGAUUUAUUCCGGGAACCUUCAUCAAUGUACUCAGUCGGAUUUGAAUCGUCAAUCCAGACAACCCGGAUGCACCGAUUCCAUUAUAUAC